AUGAACGCUGGCGGCGUGCCUAAUACAUGCAAGUCGAGCGAACAGAUGAGGAGCUUGCUCCUCUGACGUUAGCGGCGGACGGGUGAGUAACACGUGGAUAACCUACCUAUAAGACUGGGAUAACUUCGGGAAACCGGAGCUAAUACCGGAUAAUAUAUUGAACCGCAUGGUUCAAUAGUGAAAGACGGUUUUGCUGUCACCUAUAGAUGGAUCCGCGCCGCAUUAGCUAGUUGGUAAGGUAACGGCUUACCAAGGCAACGAUGCAUAGCCGACCUGAGAGGGUGAUCGGCCACACUGGAACUGAGACACGGUCCAGACUCCUACGGGAGGCAGCAGUAGGGAAUCUUCCGCAAUGGGCGAAAGCCUGACGGAGCAACGCCGCGUGAGUGAUGAAGGUCUUCGGAUCGUAAAACUCUGUUAUUAGGGAAGAACAAAUGUGUAAGUAACUAUGCACGUCUUGACGGUACCUAAUCAGAAAGCCACGGCUAACUACGUG
rnacentral:rRNA from 1 species